GAUGAAGAACCGUAGCGAAAUGCGAUACUUGGUGUGAAUUGCAGAAUCCCGUGAACCAUCGAGUCUUUGAACGCAAGUUGCGCCUCAAGCCAUUAGGUUGAGGGCACGUCUGCCUGGGCGUCACAUAUCGUUGCCUGAUGCCAGUUUCCUCGUGAUGGGUGACUGUGCAGGGCGAAUGAUGGCUUCCCGUGAGCAUUGUUGCCUCAUGGUUGGUUGAAAAUUGAGUCCUUGGUAGGGAGCGCCGUGAUAGAUGGUGGUUGAGUGACGAACGAGACCCAAUCAUGUGAGACCCCUACCGAAUUUGGCCUUCAUGACCCACAUGCGUCUUUGGAACGCUCAUGACGAGACCUCAGGUCAGGCGGGGCUACCCGCUGAGUUUAAGCAUAUCAAUAAGCGGAGGA
rnacentral:misc_RNA from 1 species